rnacentral:miRNA from 1 species
UGGCAAGAUGUUGGCAGUUCAGU